ACCAACGAAGAACAACUUGCCGAUGACUAUCCACGACUCCACCAAAUCUCGCACCCCAUUUUUCCGAGCGGCUUUGGGGA